AGGAAAGAAACUAGUUGGGGGAGAGAGAGUGCCCAAAUUUUUUACUAUACUUUGAAACAAAAUGGCAAGGGUGUUAGCAAGCAUUCUCUUUGCUUUGCAUUAAUAAAUGUUCCUCUGCUUUUGCUCACAAUUGAGAUGAUGAAACUUGGACAUGAUAGAUUCCAUUUGAUAAUCAGUAGAAAUGCUUUUCCUGAGUCAGUUGACUGUCAAGGGCCCUGAAACCUCAUCUGGCAUUUUUGGUUAAUGCAGUUUGACCAUCUAUCUUCCUUGGCUUCCUUUGACCAAUGCCAAGUUGUUAUGAGUUCUUUUCUGUUUCAAUCCAUUGAGGGAUCUACUUAACCCAACACAUGAACAUUUUUUUGACCAGUGAGAAGCAGUGUCUAGGUCAGACAUUGAUUUCCUCCCAAGUGACAACUCGCGAAUCAGUAGUCAUCAUCUCAGUACCUCAGACCUGGGGAAGGACGAGGAUUUUCAGCAGAAGAGUUGCCAAGCCAACUGGUUGUAUGUGCUGUAGCCAGGAAUGGCGGUGAGGCCUGAGAAAGUGAAGUAUUUCCACCAUUUCUGAACUAUACAGUAACCUAAGAUUGCUUCCUGGGUAGGACUCUGUGCAUGUGUGUACAUACAUGUGCGUGUGUGCGCAUGGGUGUGCAUGUGUGUGUUCAAUAGAUGAUGAAUCAAUCAUCUAUUGAUUCCUUUAACAAAUUUUAUUGACCAUCACUUUCUACCUCUCUACCAGGAAGUAUUCCAGAGAUUGAGAGUGGAAAGAAAUCCAAGAUAAAUCAGAUAAAGACAUUCUCAUAAACAAAGCCUGUGCCUUUCUGUGACAAGUAUAGUAGGAAUGCACAAAAUACCUGAAUUGUGAGCGUUUGGGGCCUCUGCUUAUUUAAACAUUAACAUGGGAAAGAUGAUGAAAAGGAGAUGAAUGAGUAGAUUAAAUUUCUAGCAGUGGUUAUCAGCAUCCCCAAAUCUAUGGUAUUGAGUAUUUUUGCCUAAAACUGUUUUCUUAAAGUUUAUGGAGUCAUAAUGCCUUACUAUUGGCCUAAAUGUAGGGAGAAAAAAAGACUUGAAACCAGAACAUGCAAUAUGAUUUUCAUAUGCCCCAAAGCCAGAGUUGAAACAGAUUCCAACUUAAUAUCACCAAGCAAUAUUCAGGCUAUCCCAGACAAUUCUAACAUAGAAUCUCAUUCUUGACAUCAUCUCUUAAUGAAACUCUGUGAACACUCAUGAGAGAUUUCAUCUAGAAUAUUUAUCUGAGAGUGUGGUUUGGCUAACACAGCUUUAGCAUGCUGCUCCUUACGUAUGGGAGCAGCACACGCUCAUAUGCUCAUUUUUUGCAUGUGAGGAAAAUGAAACAUGGGAAUGUUAAACUAAUUUGGCCAUGGUUCACAUUUAGUUACUUCUACUUUCUUUUUUAUUUAUUUUAUUUUUUAAAUUAAAGUUUGCUAAUUUACAGUGUUCCUUCCUGUUGCACAGCAAAGUGACCCAAUUACACACAGUUCCCUGUGCUGUACAGUAGGAUGCCAGUGCCCAUUGAUUCCAAAUGUAAUAGUUUGCAUCCACCAACCCCAAACUCCUCAUCCAUCCUACUCCUACCCCCUCCCCUUGCCAACCACAAGUCUGCUCUCCUUGGCUGUGAUCUGUUUCUAUUUUAUAGAUAGGAUCAUUUGUCCUAUAUUUUAGAUUAUUUGUGGGACAAAUGAUCCUAACUAGCUUCCAGGUUUUUUUACUCAGUAAGCUUCAUUCCGUCUAAGUCAGAAGAGCAGUGUGUUUCUGCUGUCGAUGUAGGCUGGAAGCAGAGUUGAGCAGAACCAGCUCUAAUCAGCCCAGGUGGCACUGCAUUUAGUGGAGAGUGUCCAUUGCCCUCCAGCUUGUCUAGACCAAUGGAAGGAUUGGUCUCCCUAAUUUUUUAGUAUUCAGGUCUCUUGUAUGCUGGCAUGUAAAUAUAUCACUUUCCAGGCAUGUAUUAAUACAAUGAAAUGUAAUUAAUGCUAACAUUGCAUUGAUCAGGACAUCAUUUUCCUUGAAGAAUCAGCCCAAGCUUCAUGGUCUUGCACCCCAAAAUCUUAUCACAGUGGUGAACAACACACAGUUGAUUUAUGCAAAAGUGUCACUUCUUCCCUGUGGAUUGACUGCUGGAUGGCAGUGAAGACACUGAGACAGUUUUAUUUCAGUCAUCAGCAUCACAACAAUUUCACAGGGCCAGUCUGGGUUUUUCAAAACAAGUGACCCAGGAGAGAAAUUUACCUUUACAUCGACUUUCACCAACAACUGUUUGUGAGACUUCAAGAAUAAAAUGCAUCAUGGAAAUAAAACGCAUCAUCUACCUAGAGGAGUUGGUCCAGAGUUAAAAGAUGCAGUAGGAUUUCCCUUCUGGUGGAUCGUAUUUCCCUUUGACGCGGUUCUAAAUUCUUUGGGGCCAACAGGGAGACCACCGAUAAUUGCCUGUAAUUCAACACACACACGACCAGCUCUCCAGAAAGCCAAGCAUCAGCUUCUCUAUUACAGUUAGGGGCCUCACAUUUGGGUUUGGUCUUUUCUUUUUCCCCUUGGAUCCAUGGCUCUUUUCAUGCAAGGUCCUGUUUGACAUCCUAAUAUAAGUGUAAUUUCAUCUUUCUCCAGAAACCUUCAUUUUCACGGCCUCUAAUGACCAUUCCAUAAUCAGUGUGGUUAGAGGAACUGAAUUCACCUCUAGGCACCUGUCAUGUUUGUAAUGAAGGAAGAGAAAGUGUAAGUGUUGGAAUAAAUGCUUUUUGAAGCACACCCUAGGCUCACUACUUUUGAAGUUUGAUCUCGAUAGUAAAUAUUCUUGGAGUGCACAUUCAACACAUAUUCUGACAUAGCAAAAUUAGAAAAUCUGCUUAGAAAGAGGUGCACAACCUAAUUUUUCCCCUUUUUAUCUUAAAUGCCUCUUCAGUCUGGCCCUUCCUCAUCUGUUCUCAAGGAAUUCUGCCAGGGCAUAGCUGAGAUAAAUCUGGCUGGAGAUCCCUCCAAAGAUUAUGCUAAACUCACCUUUGUCAUUGAUUCAGCUCAUCCUCAUGCACUGAGCAUCUUUCAAAGGACUGUUGGAAAUUGGGGCUCAUUGUCAUGGGAAGGGAAAGUCAGAAGAUGAAUAACUUAAAUAUUAAAGAAGUCUACCUCUAGUUGGGAAAGGAAAAAUCCACAUAUAUGAUGCUUUCAUGGGACCACUGUGAAUGCGCUAUUAUGGCGCCAUGAGGAAUUAGGAGGUAGAUCAGUUCUAUGGCUGGGAAAACUUUUGGCAAAUGUGGAUUUUUAACUUCACCCUUGAGUUCCAUAGAACUCCCCAAAGCAGAGGAGGCAGUGAAGAUGACUUUGACAACAAGAAGCAGCACAACUUAAAGACUUAGAAGUGAAAGGUACCGGGCAAGUUCAUGUAAAAGAACGUGAUCUAGUGGUGGUGGGGGCAGGGUAAGAGGGAGGAGCAGGGAGAAUAACAGGGAACCAAGCUGGAGCCAUAAAAUGGGGUUGGGCUCUCAGGGCUUUGAAUGUUGGAACGAAGAGCUUGGACACAAUGAAAGGCCAAGAACCUUUUUUAAGUUGAGGUCUGAAAUAGUUCUGGAUUGUAGCAAGACCUUGCCGACGUUGCUUGGAGAAUGUUCAGGAAGGGUUAGAGGAUCCGUUUGAAUGAUGUUGAAACAACAUCAUUAUAUUAUUAUAUUUGUAUCUAUAUUAAUAUGCAUUGUUAAAGAAGAAAAAUGCCUGAGCAGGGAGGUCCCUUCGUGACUCAGCGGUUAACAAACCUGACUAGGAUCCAUGAGGAUGCGAGUUCAAUCCCUGACCUCACUCUGUGGGUUAAGGAUCCGAUGUUGCCAUGAGCUGUGGUAUAGGUCGCAAACGCAGCAGCUUGAUCCUGAGUUGCUGUGGCUGUGAUGUAGGCUGGCAGCUGUAGCUCUGAUUUGACCCUGAGCCUGGGAACCUCCAUAUGCUGU
rnacentral:lncRNA from 1 species